UGAUUUCAUUUGUAAUACCGCCUCGCUUUUGUAGUUAUGGCCCUGUGGCUCAGCAUUAAAGGAAGUUUUCUCAGAUGGGUGGUGUCUUUCUAGUUACAUAAUUCAUUGUUUCCCCUAUAAUGAUGCUCCAAAUUGAUGCCUACUGUUAGC